rnacentral:rRNA from 1 species
AAAGGGGUGACCUGCGGAAGGAUCAAUUAACAGAGUUUUGAACAGGGUUGUAGGUGGCCUUACACAAGGCAUGUGCACACCAUGCUCAUCCACUCUCAUACCCAUGUGCGCGUUAUUGUAGGCUUGGUGGGAUAAGCUGGCUUCGGUCGACUUUGAAAGCCGUAGUCGUAUGUCUAUUACAAACGCUUCAGUUAAAGAAUGUCAUACUGCGUCUAACGCAUUAAAUCAACUUUCAGCAACAGGAUCUCUUGGCUCUCGCAUCGAUGAAGAACGCAGCGAAAUGCGAUAAGUAAUGUGAAUUGCAGAAUUCAGUGAAUCAUCGAAUCUUUGAACGCACCUUGCGCUCCUUGGUAUUCCGAGGAGCGAUCCUGUUUGAGUGUCAUGGUAUUCUCACCUUCAAAGCUUUUGCAAUGGAGGCUUGGAUUUGGAGGCUGUGUUGGCGCAAGUCACAUCUCUUAAAUGUAUUAGUGUGACCUUCGGAUCGCCUUCAGUGUGAUAAUUGUCUCGCUGUGGUGUUGAAGUAUAUUCGAGUUCAUGUUCUAAUCGUCCGCAUGGCACUUUACUUGACAAUCUGCGUCAAAUACGAGGUAGGACUACCGCUGACUUAC